GACGAACGCUGGCGGCGUGCUUAACACAUGCAAGUCGAACGGAAAGGCCCUGCUUUUGUGGGGUGCUCGAGUGGCGAACGGGUGAGUAACACGUGAGUAACCUGCCCUUGACUUUGGGAUAACUUCAGGAAACUGGGGCUAAUACCGGAUAGGAGCUCCUGCUGCAUGGUGGGGGUUGGAAAGUUUCGGCGGUUGGGGAUGGACUCGCGGCUUAUCAGCUUGUUGGUGGGGUAGUGGCUUACCAAGGCUUUGACGGUAGCCGGCCUGAGAGGGUGACCGGCCACAUUGGGACUGAGAUACGGCCCAGACUCCUACGGGAGGCAGCAGUGGGGAAUAUUGCACAAUGGGCGGAAGCCUGAUGCAGCAACGCCGCGUGCGGGAUGACGGCCUUCGGGUUGUAAACCGCUUUCGCCUGUGACGAAGCGUGAGUGACGGUAAUGGGUAAAGAAGCACCGGCCAACUACGUG
rnacentral:rRNA from 1 species